rnacentral:lncRNA from 1 species
AGAGACCUGAGCCUCAUCCUGUAACCAGGGCUUCUCAGCAAGGAGCUGCACCAGAAGACGAGACAUUCCAGGGUACAAGUGGAAGCUGCAUGCACGUCAACACCCAGACUGCCCCUUCUGCCCCUUCUGUGGACCAACAUUUAAUGAAGGAGGAACAACCUCCAUAUCUCUAUGGCUGAGAGUCUGCAGCUUCUGUAAUCCACCACCAGUCUCCCUUCUGUCUCUCCCCUCCUCUUCCAUCCUC